rnacentral:rRNA from 1 species
GAACCUUUACUAUAGCUUGACACUGAACAUUGAGCCUUGAUGUGUAGGAUAGGUGGGAGGCUUUGAAGUGUGGACGCCAGUCUGCAUGGAGCCGACCUUGAAAUACCACCCUUUAAUGUUUGAUGUUCUAACGUUGACCCGUGAUCCGGGUUGCGGACAGUGUCUGGUGGGUAGUUUGACUGGGGCGGUCUCCUCCUAAAGAGUAACGGAGGAGCACGAAGGUUGGCUAAUCCUGGUCGGACAUCAGGAGGUUAGUGCAAUGGCAUAAGCCAGCUUGACUGCGAGCGUGACGGCGCGAGCAGGUGCGAAAGCAGGUCAUAGUGAUCCGGUGGUUCUGAAUGGAAGGGCCAUCGCUCAACGGAUAAAAGGUACUCCGGGGAUAACAGGCUGAUACCGCCCAAGAGUUCAUAUCGACGGCGGUGUUUGGCACCUCGAUGUCGGCUCAUCACAUCCUGGGGCUGAAGUAGGUCCCAAGGGUAUGGCUGUUCGCCAUUUAAAGUGGUACGCGAGCUGGGUUUAGAACGUCGUGAGACAGUUCGGUCCCUAUCUGCCGUGGGCGCUGGAGAACUGAGGGGGGCUGCUCCUAGUACGAGAGGACCGGAGUGGACGCAUCACUGGUGUUCGGGUUGUCAUGCCAAUGGCACUGCCCGGUAGCUAAAUGCGGAAGAGAUAAGUGCUGAAAGCAUCUAAGCACGAAACUUGCCCCGAGAUGAGUUCUCCCUGACUCCUUGAGAGUCCUGAAGGAACGUUGAAGACGACGACGUUGAUAGGCCGGGUGUGUAAGCGCAGCGAUGCGUUGAGCUAACCGGUACUAAUGAACCGUGAGG